rnacentral:misc_RNA from 1 species
AGCAGCCGCGGUAAUUCCAGCUCCAAUAGCGUAUAUUAAAGUUGUUGCAGUUAAAAAGCUCGUAGUUGAAUUUCGGGAUCAAUACGUCGGUCGUGCUUCGGUACGUACUGGCGUAAUUGAUUUCUCCUUCUGACGAACCAUGAUGUCAUUAACUUGGUGUCAUGGGAAAUCAGGACUGUUACUUUGAAAAAAUUGAGUGUUUAAAGCAAGCUAACGCUUGAAUACAUUAGCAUGGAAUAAUGAAAUAGGACGUUCGAUCCUAUUUUGUUGGUUUCUAGGAUUGACGUAAUGAUUAAUAGGGAUAGUUGGGGGCAUUAGUAUUCAAUUGUCAGAGGUGAAAUUCUUGGAUUUAUUGAAGACUAACUACUGCGAAAGCAUUUGCCAAGGAUGUUUUCAUUAAUCAAGAACGAAAGUUAGGGGAUCGAAGACGAUCAGAUACCGUCGUAGUCUUAAACCAUAAACUAUGCCGACUAGGGACCGGAUGAUGUUAAUUUUAAUGACUCAUUCGGCGUCUUACGGG